UUAAAAAAAUAUAAAAAAUUAGGGAAAAACGAUUAAUUUUGGCAAACAUAAUUUAAUAAAAAAACAAAAAAAUAUUUAUUUUUAAUUUAAUUUUAAUUUUUAUUAAUUAAUUAUAGUUUUUAUAUUUUUUUUUAUUUUUUAUUCAAUUAUGUUCUUCAAAAAUAAGUGCUUUUAUUUUUCCCCUAAUUUUUUAUUUAAUGAUUUUUUUUAAUUUAUUCAAAUUGUAGAAAAUAUAAAAAAAUCGCUGAGUUUAGGGUACGCCCACCGACAGAUGGUUAAAUAAAUAAUUACAAAUACUAAAUGCACAGAAAAAUAUUUUGAACUGAGUUUCAGGGCUUCACUUAGUAUUUAAAAAUUUCGUAUUUUAUAAUAUUAUAAAAUAUUUGCCACCAAACGACGUAAAAAAAAUGUGUUUAAAUAAGUGUUCAAACAACUUUUACGAUCACUCAGAGGAAUAAGAUAUGUGCCGUCUCGAUUCUUUACAUUCGCUCACGAGUUCCAACCACCAGUAAUAUUCAAAAAGCGAUAGCAAAUGCAGAAAUCUGCUGAGAAAACUAUGGCAUAUUGACUUUAAGAUAACAGAAAGUGUCUAAAUUAAUUGCUUUGACACGAUCACUAGGCGUCGAACUUUAUUUCGUUAUGUAUGUAUAAGUUGACUUUAAUCUGUACAUUAAACGAAACUAAACUCAAAGUGUUGCACCCAUACCGGGAGAGUCGUGUUGAAGUAUCUGGAAUGAGCUUUAUAAGGCAAAGAACUGUCAUUUUGGUAGACUUUCUGAUAAAUUUUAUCGGAGUAGAAAUACCCGAUUUAAAUACCCUUCUGAUCUCUGUUAUUUAUCGGUUAAAAACUCUCUAAUAUUAAGGCAAAUAACAUAGAAAAACUAUAAUUUUGGCAAGUGUGAAGAGUCAAAUUUUUUAAAAAUCGAAAUUAAAGUAAUAUUUUAAAAAAUGCCUCAAACGAUUACGUACAGUUUUAUUAAAUGUAAAAUAUUCGUUUCGACUUGUAUUAUUACGAUAAUUUACGAUGGUAAGGACUGCCUAAGUUGUCGUCAACGUCAUCCAGCGGUAGACCCAAGAAACAUGCUGUUUGGACGGGGUCGGACCAACAGGAGAGGAAUGUUAGAUGACGAGAAAAGUCAAAAUGGGAUAUGAACCUUUACUAGUAUCUUUCUGUCCUCAGAAGAGAAUAUGAUCACCAUCGGUGUGAUUUUCUGUUUUUAAAAACUGAAAAGUGUAUAUCCUUUUUGCCACGAAUUUUGUAACAUCUAGAAGAAAGCAACGGAGACCUAGUAAAGUAUAUUAUAGUAUGAUAAAGUAUUAUUGGAGUAGAGCUUGACGAGCUGAGUCAAUUUAAUUAUGUUCGUUCAACCAUCUGUAUAGACGUAACGUAGUCCAUAAGCUUUUGAUAUAUGGAUCUGAAAAUAUUCACAAGUCUUUCUGUCACCAAAAGCUGCUCAUUUGUCGGAACUGACGAUAUUGGACCGCUAUAGCAUAUAGCUGCCAUACAAACUGAACCAUCGGAAUCAAGUGCUCGUAUGAAAAACUGUUUUAUUUGACAAGAUAUCUUGGAGAAAUUUGGGGUGAAUUGUUCUCAAAGGAAGUACCACAAUCUCAGAAGAAUUUGUUCAGAUCGAACUAAUAUAGCAUAUAGCUGCCAUACAAAAUAAACGAUCAAAAUCAAGAUAACGAUCUCUUAUAAGCUUUUAAGCUAUAAGAAAUUUACUUUUUU